rnacentral:lncRNA from 1 species
GAUUACUCGAGGGCGAGUAAAGUGCCAGGAGGAGGUAGAGGUUCUAAUCUUGUAUUUUUGGCAUCUACUUAGGUCGAGGUCUAGUCUAGUCGUUGUUUAGUUUAGUGUCCGUUAGGUCGUGCGUGUCAUUUUUGAGUCGUGUUAGUGUCGUCUAAGUGUCAUUAUGCUUUGUUUUGCGUACUUUAUUAUUGAUACCACUCGCCCGUACUCAAUCUCCAUUCGGGCGAGGUUCGGUUAUGCUUAAAAAGAGAUUUGCAAAAGUCGCUUUAAUGUCACUUUGUUUAUAAACUACGGCCGCGAACGAAAUGCUAUACGGCCGUUGUUUUUUGUAUAUAUUUGUUUAUGUUAGAAAAAAAAAUAGUUUGUGACUAAUAUUCUGUUUGCUUCGUAUUGCCUUUAUUGAAUUGUUUUGCAGAAUGUCACGUGCAGGAACUUCAAGUCGGGCCAACAGGAAACGAGGCUGAGACACUCGCUCAGGAAAGGGCCCAGUGGGACACAGGCGGGUGUUGAGGUGUUGGAUGAUGCGGAGUAGAGCGAGGAUGACAGCUUAUAUCUUUUGUUUAUUUUUAUCUUUAUGCUGUUUUUAAUCCUCGUCUAUUGGUUUGUACUAAAAUACAUUAAACAAGUUGGUUGGGAUUUUGGGGAUGGUUGACGCUUGGUUGUUGGAUGCUGAUAUUUGUAGCCGCUUUCGUUCGCGUGUCCGAGGUUAG